rnacentral:rRNA from 1 species
GGGCGUAAAGAGCUCGUAGGCGGUUUGUCGCGUCUGCUGUGAAAUUUCGAGGCUCAACCUCGAACUUGCAGUGGGUACGGGCAGGCUAGAGUGCGGUAGGGGAGAUGGGAAUUCCUGGUGUAGCGGUGGAAUGCGCAGAUAUCAGGAGGAACACCAAUGGCGAAGGCACAUCUCUGGGCCGUAACUGACGCUGAGGAGCGAAAGCGUGGGGAGCGAACAGGAUUAGAUACCCUGGUAGUCCACGCCGUAAACGGUGGGUGCUAGCUGUGGGCCACAUUCCACGUGGUCCGUGACGAAGUUAACACAUUAAGCACCCCGCCUGGGGAGUACGGCCGCAAGGCUAAAACUCAAAGGAAUUGACGGGGGCCCGCACAAGCGGCGGAGCAUGCGGAUUAAUUCGAUGCAACGCGAAGAACCUUACCAAGGCUUGACAUAUAGAGGAAAAGUGCAGAAAUGUACUCCCCGCAAGGUCUCUAUACAGGUGGUGCAUGGUUGUCGUCAGCUCGUGUCGUGAGAUGUUGGGUUAAGUCCCGCAACGAGCGCAACCCUCGUCCUAUGUUGCCAGCACGUAAUGGUGGGAACUCAUGGGAUACUGCCGGGGUCAACUCGGAGGAAGGU